UUAACUUAUUUACAUUUUUCGCGUCCGGAGACGCCUGUCAGACAUGCGAGGUUCAAACAUGAGUUCGCUGGGUCCUCCCGUGGGCGGGGCCGGAGCCCCCGGGGCGUGGCUGGCACGCCCCUUGCCGCACGGAAGCAACUUGGAGAGGUACACAGAUGGGUUGUAUGAAACGUGCGGGCGCUGGCCCGGGUUUUAUUAAUGAUCCUUCCGCAGGUUCACCUACGGAAA
rnacentral:misc_RNA from 1 species